rnacentral:miRNA from 1 species
AUAGAUAUAGGUUGGUGCAAAAGUAAUUGCAGUUUUUGCCAUUAGAAUUAAUUACCAGUGGCAAAAACUGCAAUUACUUUUGCAACCAUCUAGUA